UGGGGAAUUUUCCGCAAUGGGCGAAAGCCUGACGGAGCAAGACCGCGUGGGGGAGGAAGGUUUUUGGAUCGUAAACCCCUUUUGUCAAGGAAGAAGCUCUGACGGUACUUGACGAAUAAGCCUCGGCUAACUCCGUGCCAGCAGCCGCGGUAAUACGGAGGAGGCAAGCGUUAUCCGGAAUGAUUGGGUGUAAAGCGUCUGUAGGUGGCCAGCUAAGUCUGCUGUUAAAGAUCACAGCUCAACUGUGGGAAGGCAGUGGAAACUGGCAAGCUAGAGGUUGGUAGGGGUAAAGGGAAUUCCCGGUGUAGCGGUGAAAUGCGUAGAUAUCGGGAAGAACACCGGUGGCGAAAGCGCUUUACUGGGCCAGACCUGACACUGAAGGACGAAAGCUAGGGGAGCGAAAGGGAUUAGAUACCCCUGUAGUC
rnacentral:rRNA from 1 species